rnacentral:lncRNA from 1 species
UGUUUUUCCCCCCUUCCAUCCAGGUGUAAAACCACCUUUAUUCGAUGUUUCAAGCCAAAUUAUGUCAAGGUGGGUAUGCAACAUUAAAUGUAGCCAACUGCGCCCUUUCUAGGCCAAAAGUUACAAACCUAUAUGAUCUCAUAUCCUGUCCGUCUGCCCUCAGCUUCCCGGUAUCUUUGAUGUGGACUAUGUGUCAACCCAGCUGAGGCAUGCUGGGAUACUUGAGACCAUCACCAUCAGGAAGGAGGGAUUCCCCAUCCGCAUCCCCUUCUCCUUCUUUAUGGAGAGGUAUGGAAUCCUCCUGGUGGAGCGACCAGCCACCAUGUCUGAUAAGGAGCAGACCGUGGCGUUGCUGAACUUUGUAGGGGCUGAUGAGGGACAGUACCAGCUAGGACUCACUAAGGUGUUUCUGAAGGAGGUGCUGUACCAGCGUGUGGAGGACAAGUGGAACAGCACUCAGACCUGGGCUGCGGUUACCAUCCAGAGGAACAUCAGAGGGUUCAUCUGCAGGCGCAACUUUAGGUUCUUCAAACAGAAGGCCAUUGUCAUCCAGAGCCACAUACGAGGACAUCAGGCCAGGCAGUAUUACAAGCGUCUGAGACUGUCCUUCACUCAGUUCUGGGCUGCAAUGAUGAUCACCAGGAACACAAUCAAGAGACGACAGUGGAG